ACCAUUCUUUUCUUGGGUUUGUGCUACUGUCCAAUGAGCGCAUAGUGAGGGCAGUACUGCUAACACAUACCAAAAAAAAAAAGCAAAAAUAAACAUAAAAAACAGAAGUACUUUCCAGAGACUAGGAUUACAGACAACCUGGAUAUAAACUAAGUUCUGGAGGC
rnacentral:ncRNA from 1 species